rnacentral:rRNA from 1 species
ACGCGAGUAUGUGAAUCAUCGAAUCUUUGAACGCAACUUGCACUCUAGGUUCUCCUAGAGUAUGCCUAUUUGAGUAUCGGUACACCCCACUCAAACCCCACGCGGGUGGUUUGGAUCUGAUGAGUCGUGUGUGCGCAUGCGCAUCGACUUGAAGUGUACACUGAAUCGGGCCUAUGCAUACUGUGCAUGCGGUACUGACGUGAUAGUCUUUUCAUGGACACGCGUGUCUCCUCUUGUAGAGGAGGCGCGCACUCGUCAGGCUCAAUCCCACGUGCCAGUCAUAGUGAUUACCCAGUCACACACCACACCUUAUCACUUGAAUCUCGAUCUCAAAUUAGGUAGGACUACCCGCUGAAUUUAAGCAUAUCAAUAAGCGGAGG